AGAGAAAGACAGUGGAACUGCUAAUUCCACAAUUCCAUAAUUAACACUAUGGCUUUCUUG
rnacentral:tRNA from 1 species